rnacentral:miRNA from 1 species
CAUCCCUUGCGUGGUGGAGGGUG